ensembl:Mt_tRNA
UAGAAUGGGGUGUGAUAGGUAGCACGGAGGAAUUUGAAUUCUCAGGGGUAGGUUCGACACCUAUAAUUCUAG